rnacentral:rRNA from 1 species
GACGAACGCUGGCGGCGUGCUUAACACAUGCAAGUCGAACGAUGAAGAAGAGAAACGCGAACUUCGGUUCAAAUUUCACUUCGGAUUAGUGGCAGACGGGUGAGUAACGCGUGAGCAACCUACCUCUUACAAAGGGAUAGCCUCGGGAAACCGUGAUUAAUACCAUAUGGCACAUUCAUAAGGCAUCUUAAGAAUGUUAAAGCUACGGCGGUAAGAGAUGGGCUCGCGUCCCAUUAGCUAGUUGGUGAGGUAACGGCCCACCAAGGCGACGAUGGGUAACCGGCCUGAGAGGGUGAACGGUCACAUUGGAACUGAGACACGGUCCAAACUCCUACGGGAGGCAGCAGUGGGGAAUAUUGCACAAUGGAGGGAACUCUGAUGCAGCGACGCCGCGUGAGCGAUGAAGGAAUUCGUUUCGUAAAGCUCUGUUCUAUGGGAAGAAAAGGACUGUACCAUAGGAGAAAGCCCCGGCUAAAUACGUG